rnacentral:rRNA from 1 species
GAGAAUCCUGAAUUCGAAAGGGUUUGGAUUCAUUUCCUUCGUGUGUUGCCCGACCGCUUGCACUUUGCCGUAAUGUGUCGGUGUACCGGAGCAAUUCAUUUUGCUUUCGGUAUUUCCUGGCUUAAGCUAGGUGGUGCGGCGUGUCCGUGGUGCUCGAAGAAUGCACUUCCUCCCUAGUAGAAACGUCGCGACCCGUUGGGCGCCGGUCAAAGGCCCGCGAUGGCAGACCGUGCAUCCAGUGUGUGAAUUGAUUUCGCACGCAGGUGUGCGGACUCGUGGUGACCCGGCUGGCAGCCCGACGGUAGGUGAAACGGAGUCGAUCCGCCGAACGUAAGUACUGGAAGUGGGGCGUUCGGCCCGGUGCCGAUGUGUGCGGAGAUUGCGAAGAUGGUCGCGAGGUGUUCGUGCUGAGCACGUCGCCUCUUCUCGCGCACUGUCGGCUGCUGGUGUUCUCGGACGGGAUCGUUCUCCAAUCUGCGACGCCCAUCUUCGGAUGGUCUCCCGACCCGUCUUGAA